rnacentral:rRNA from 1 species
CAGAGGGGGCAAGCGUUGUUCGGAAUUACUGGGCGUAAAGGGCGCGUAGGCGGCCUGUUAAGUCGAACGUGAAAUCCCUGGGCUCAACCCAGGAACUGCGUCCGAUACUGGCAGGCUUGAAUUCGGGAGAGGGAUGUGGAAUUCCAGGUGUAGCGGUGAAAUGCGUAGAUAUCUGGAGGAACACCGGUGGCGAAGGCGGCAUCCUGGACCGAUAUUGACGCUGAGGCGCGAAAGCCAGGGGAGCAAACGGGAUU